GACGAACGCUGGCGGCGUGCUUAACACAUGCAAGUCGAACGAAGUGGCGAACGGGUGAGUAACGCGUAAUCAACCUGCCCUUCAGAGGGGGACAACAGUUGGAAACGACUGCUAAUCCCGCAUACUGAAGGAGGGGAUUGCGUCUGAUUAGCUAGCUGGCGGGGUCACGGCCCACCAAGGCGAUGAGCAGUAGCCGGUCUGAGAGGAUGAACGGCCAAAUUGGGACCUAGACACGGCCCAGACUCCGUCGGGAGGCAGCAGGGGGGAAUCUUCCGCAAUGGACGAAAGUCUGACGGAGCAACGCCGCGUGAGUGAUGACGGCCUUCGGGUUGUAAAGCUCUGUUAAUCGGGACGCGGUACCGGAAUAGAAAGCCACGGCUAACUACGUGCCAGCAGCCGCGGUAAUUC
rnacentral:rRNA from 1 species